GACGAACGCUGGCGGCGUGCCUAACACAUGCAAGUCGAACGGGGUUAUUUCCUUCGGGAGAUAACUUAGUGGCGAACGGGUGAGUAACGCGUGAGGAACCUGCCUUUCAGUGGGGGACAACAGUUGGAAACGACUGCUGAUACCGCAUAACGUAUCGGGGGGGCAUCCCCUUGAUACCAAAGCUUUAUGUGCUGAAAGAUGGCCUCGCGUCUGAUUAGAUAGUUGGUGGGGUAACGGCCCACCAAGUCAACGAUCAGUAGCCGGUCUGAGAGGAUGGAACGGCCACAUUGGGACUGAGAUACGGCCCAG
rnacentral:rRNA from 1 species